AGUGAACGCUGGCGGUAGGCCUAACACAUGCAAGUCGAACGGCAGCACAGUAAGAGCUUGCUCUUACGGGUGGCGAGUGGCGGACGGGUGAGGAAUACAUCGGAAUCUACUUUUUCGUGGGGGAUAACGUAGGGAAACUUACGCUAAUACCGCAUACGACCUACGGGUGAAAGCAGGGGAUCUUCGGACCUUGCGCGAUUGAAUGAGCCGAUGUCGGAUUAGCUAGUUGGCGGGGUAAAGGCCCACCAAGGCGACGAUCCGUAGCUGGUCUGAGAGGAUGAUCAGCCACACUGGAACUGAGACACGGUCCAGACUCCUACGGGAGGCAGCAGUGGGGAAUAUUGGACAAUGGGCGCAAGCCUGAUCCAGCCAUACCGCGUGAGUGAAGAAGGCCUUCGGGUUGUAAAGCCCUUUUGUUGGGAAAGAAAAGCUGCAGGUUAAUACCCUGCUGUUCUGACGGUACCCAAAGAAUAAGCACCGGCUAACUUCGUG
rnacentral:rRNA from 1 species